CCUACGGGAGGCAGCAGUGAGGAAUAUUGGUCAAUGGACGAGAGUCUGAACCAGCCAAGUAGCGUGAAGGAUGACUGCCCUAUGGGUUGUAAACUUCUUUUAUAUGGGAAUAAAAUGUUCCACGUGUGGGAUUUUGUAUGUACCAUAUGAAUAAGGAUCGGCUAACUCCGUGCCAGCAGCCGCGGUAAUACGGAGGAUCCGAGCGUUAUCCGGAUUUAUUGGGUUUAAAGGGAGCGUAGGUGGAUUGUUAAGUCAGUUGUGAAAGUUUGCGGCGCAACCGUAAAAUUGCAGUUGAAACUGGCAGUCUUGAGUACAGUAGAGGUGGGCGGAAUUCGUGGUGUAGCGGUGAAAUGCUUAGAUAUCACGAAGAACUCCGAUUGCGAAGGCAGUUCACUGGACUGCAACUGACACUGAGGCUCGAAAGUGUGGGUAUCAAACAGGAGUAGAUACCCGAGUAGUC
rnacentral:rRNA from 1 species